rnacentral:rRNA from 1 species
AUUGAACGCUAGCGGCAUGCCUUACACAUGCAAGUCGAACGGCAGCGGGGGAGCUUGCUCCCGCCGGCGAGUGGCGAACGGGUGAGUAAUACAUCGGAACGUACCCAGUAGCGGGGGAUAGCCCGGCGAAAGCCGGAUUAAUACCGCAUACGCCCUACGGGGGAAAGGGGGGGGUCGCAAGACCUCUCACUAUUGGAGCGGCCGAUGGCGGAUUAGCUAGUUGGUGGGGUAAAGGCCUACCAAGGAGACGAUCAGUAGCUGGUCCGAGAGGACGACCAGCCACACUGGGACUGAGACACGGCCCAGACUCCUACGGGAGGCAGCAGUGGGGAAUUUUGGACAAUGGGCGAAAGCCUGAUCCAGCAAUGCCGCGUGUGCGAAGAAGGCCUUCGGGUUGUAAAGCACUUUUGUCAGGGAAGAAAUCGUUUGGGUUAAUACCCCGAGCAGUUGACGGUACCUGAAGAGUAAGCACCGGCUAACUACGUGCCAGCCGCCGCAGUAA